rnacentral:rRNA from 1 species
AUACGAAGGGGGCUAGCGUUGUUCGGAUUUACUGGGCGUAAAGCGCACGUAGGCGGAUCGUUAAGUCGGGGGUGAAAUCCUGGAGCUCAACUCCAGAACUGCCUUCGAUACUGGCGAUCUUGAGUCCGGAAGAGGUGAGUGGAACUCCUAGUGUAGAGGUGGAAUUCGUAGAUAUUAGGAAGAACACCAGUGGCGAAGGCGGCUCACUGGUCCGGUACUGACGCUGAGGUGCGAAAGCGUGGGGAGC